UAGCUGGUACAAAAUUAGGCAUAUAUAAAACCGAGCAACUUUAGCGUGCUUAACAGAUUAUUUUGAUGUCAUAUUGGCUUUUAAUCAUGAUUCAACCAAUGAAUGUUAUCACGGGCUAUGGCAAUAUUCGUUCGACUAGCAUCAGCAAUUCGCAAUAGCGAACCAAGCGGUUGGUCUACCUUAUGCGGGAUGUACCGCUUUCUUUAACAACUUAUUACUAAUAAAAGCAUGUACAAGAAUGGGAUUUAACUAUUUUACAGAGAAAACUUCACGAAAUAUCAUAGUAAUUUUUUCAAAUUUUAAAAAACACGAAAUAGAAUUUCCAAAAUAAAAAUUUGUUCAUAAUUUUUAACAACAUAACAUAAUUUUUAAUUAUGUGAUAAUUAUUUUUUAAUACAAUAAAAAUUUAUUCAGAAUGAGCAAUCCUUCCCGAUUAAAACAAAUUCAAAUGUACGAUCCAUUUUCCCAAAGAUGGGCAAAGAUCACUAAAUUCAAAAGCUUGUAUUUCUUAAAUUUCGAGACGAGUAAAAUGAUGAGUUAAACCUCUAAUUUCACGUGGACUACAUCAUAUCCCAUUUGGAUAUCGAGAGAAAAAAGCGAUCGAUUUAGCGUAGAAUCACCUUUUGUUUUGUAUUACUAAGAUGUAUAUUUAUAAAAAGUUUAAAUGUCUAAAACUACAGAAUGUACAAUAUAUGUAAAAAUAUGUAAAAUAUUCAAAGCAUUUGUUAUAAUAUUUUGAGGAUGAAACGCAUCUCCAUUUAAAUUCCAUCCCCUUAGUUGUGUUUAUAAAGAUAUGAAUUUGCAUAAAGAUUCACAGUAAUAUUAGAGCAGAUGUAACAUAUAAAAUUUUCGCCUUUUAUUUUUCUAAUUUACUUUCGAAUUACAAUACUAUGUACACAUAAACUAUUUAAUAAUUAUUAUAUGCCAAUAAAACUCUUUACAAUUUCU